rnacentral:rRNA from 1 species
UACGGGUGGUGCUAGUGUUAUUCCUCAUGACUAGGCGUAAAGGGUGCGUAGAUGGAAAAUAAGGCUUUAAAUUAACUGGAACUUUUUUUUUUUUUUUUUUUUACCUAUUUUUCUAGAGUAAAUUAGACGAUGAUGGAACUUCCUGUAUUAGAGUUAAAAUGCGUUUAAACUGGAAGGAACACCAAGGGCGAAGGCAAUCAUCGAUUUUUUACUGACAUUGAGGCACGAAGGCAUGGGGAUCGAAUGGG